AGAGCGAACGCUGGCGGCAGGCCUAACACAUGCAAGUCGAACGGACCCUUCGGGGUUAGUGGCGGACGGGUGAGUAACACGUGGGAACGUGCCUUUAGGUUCGGAAUAGCUCCUGGAAACGGGUGGUAAUGCCGAAUGUGCCCUUCGGGGGAAAGAUUUAUCGCCUUUAGAGCGGCCCGCGUCUGAUUAGCUUGUUGGUGAGGUAAUGGCUCACCAAGGCUACGAUCAGUAGCUGGUCUGAGAGGAUGACCAGCCACAUUGGGACUGAGACACGGCCCAAACUCCUACGGGAGGCAGCAGUGGGGAAUCUUGCGCAAUGGGCGAAAGCCUGACGCAGCCAUGCCGCGUGUAUGAUGAAGGUCUUAGGAUUGUAAAAUACUUUCACCGGUGAAGAUAAUGACUGUAGCCGGAAGAAGAAGCCCCGGAUAACGUUCGUAGCCCAGCAGCCGC
rnacentral:rRNA from 1 species